AACGAACGCUGGCGGCAUGCCUAACACAUGCAAGUCGAACGAGACCUUCGGGUCUAGUGGCGCACGGGUGCGUAACGCGUGGGAAUCUGCCCUUGGGUUCGGAAUAACAGCGAGAAGUUGCUGCUAAUACCGGAUGAUGACGUAAGUCCAAAGAUUUAUCGCCCAAGGAUGAGCCCGCGUAGGAUUAGCUAGUUGGUGAGGUAAAGGCUCACCAAGGCGACGAUCCUUAGCUGGUCUGAGAGGAUGAUCAGCCACACUGGGACUGAGACACGGCCCAGACUCCUACGGGAGGCAGCAGUGGGGAAUAUUGGACAAUGGGCGAAAGCCUGAUCCAGCAAUGCCGCGUGAGUGAUGAAGGCCUUAGGGUUGUAAAGCUCUUUUACCCGGGAUGAUAAUGACAGUACCGGGAGAAUAAGCUCCGGCUAACUCCGUGCCAGCAGCCGCGGUAAU
rnacentral:rRNA from 1 species